GAGUUCAACAAAGACAGCUCCCAAAAUAUGGUUUCCGGCUCCAUUUUUGCAGACGAAAGUGUCGAAAGCGUCAACCGUCGUAUCAUUGCUAAAGAACCAAAACGAAGCUAUGAUCAGGUUCUUGGCUCAACCAAAAAAAAAACUUUGAAUCCAUAGAAAUUUGAGAAAUUUUGUACGAAAGUGAAUUAAACCAAUGAGUUUCAUUUUGUACUUUUUCAUUUUUCUUGAGGGCUUAGUCCCAAAAAGGUAAAAUAUGCAAGGGAAAGUGUACUCUCACUCACCGGGUGUUGUUUGUGAAAUGGGAGCUAGAUGUUUCCACCUCAGCGUUCUUUCCAAAAAUCGAACCAAGCCUUCGAUAUACUGUCAAGGUCUUCCAUGUUUUGGCUAGAAGUUCCUAUAAAUCUGAAAAAUGCCAAAAAUAAGGUUUUGGCUUAGAAAAAGACAGAGAUUGAAAGAAAACGAAUAGUUUGGUUCAACGAAUCACAAAUGACCAAAUUACAAAUCAGUAGUUUGGUAUUGAUAAUCUCACAAACGAAAUCUCUUUGCAGUAGUCGAAAGAACAUGCAUUUUGAAUCCGCCUCCUCUCCUUAUAUCCAGACCAAUAAGCAUGCAUCCUCUCGCUGUGCUCUGGGAUCCCAAAAAUGGAUGAUCCUAAAUAGAAGCUUCGCCUCUACCAAGCCGAGAAGAACGUAACUGAAGAACAUAGCGUAGUGAAUGUGGAGGAUGAUAUUGCUGAUUUGUUGGUCAUGGAAGUGAAGGAUUUUUUGUAGACUGUAACAGAGUGAUAUAUAUAGGGUGAAGGCAGGGAAAUUCUAUCGGCAAGUAGGUUUUGAUUGCAGAAGCCAUUAACAUAGAUUUGAUGAAGCUUAAUUAUUCAGGUAGAAAGUUACACCAGAAAUCCGGAGCGGCAGGAAAUUUGGGGUUUCGCGAGUAGAAGAAGAUGAAAGGACGUGGCUGUAUAGAUUUUCGGGAAAUGUUUUGGGCCAGUUAAAGGCUUUUUGCAAAUCUUUAUAUAUAAAAAAUGGUUUUCUCCCUCCUGGUGAAGUCACAUAGGCAGACAGGUCAGAAAGUCAGUGAUUUUGGGCGCGCCACGUGUCCUCAUUCUGCGAUUCUGCGUUUCAUUAAUAUAGUUGUGCACACCAUUUGGGCUUUUAGUUUUGAUGGACUUCGUUUUUACUUUGGACUUCUGUGAGGGUUAGACCGUGUUCUUCUUCGUCACCUCUCCAGUUCUUCGCAAGAACUCUUUCAUAUUCUUCCUCAGAUACAGAAACAUACCAGUUACGAAUAAUCAUAUUAAAACCUCUCCAUUAAUCUCUCACAUACGAUUCAUAUUCAAUGCGAUUUCUAGAUCUGCAAGGCGGUGGAGGUUCAUCUAUAAAAAGACGCGCUCCUCCUCCUCCUCUGUUCAAGUCCGGUUGCUCUGUUUAUAGGAGGCCAGGAGUGACCGCCGUGGUGGAGAACUCAUGUGGGAGUGGAUGUACUCCUUCUCGAUUCUCAGGACUUUUGCGGUGGCGACCUUCGAUGGAGGUCUUCUCAGAGAUUUUAUCUAACUUUCCUGAAGCUUCACAGAGAUCUCAAAACGUCCACAGCCAUGGCGAUAAACAAAGUCCACGGAUUAUGCGGAGCCAAUCAUACGUUUCCUUAGAUCUUUUCCUUUCCUCUUUUUUUGGUGUUGAGGAAUUCAUACUGUUUUCUUUGUGCUUCUGAACUCUUAUGUUGAUCCUGAGUACAAAGACUACAUAGGCUUAGCAAUGCCACCAGGUGAUGUAACUUUAAAGGUGUGGCUGAAUAGGUUUUCUAAGCUUUAAUCGCAAUUCUCAUCAGCCCCUCCAUCAUUCACCAAACAGAUUUAUGGGCCUACCAAAAUAGACAAGCAGAAACGUUUAUGCAGCUUUUUUGCCAUUUCUGCUGCUCUUCGUUUACAUGUAUAGCCCGGUCGGAGUUGGAGAACAGAGGUAGCAGCUGCAAAUACUGAAGGAAGAUGAGAGCUUGACUUCUUGAAUGGCAUCGACCUUGAUUCUCAAGUUAUGUGUCCAAGUCAUUUUUCUCAGUUCCACGUGAUGGCUAAAGGAUAGAAGCAUUGCAAAGGAAAAGAAUUCUGAGCACUGUUUUCAGUGAGAUCUAAAUAGUUACAUUUUGAAACUAACGUAAACUUUAAAAUCUUUCAUCACUUUUUAGACUUUCACCCUAAUGGAUUCAUGCCCAUGAUCUCAAACAAUUAGGAUAUCUACAUAUAUUCUAACAGAUGUGUUUCUUAUGUUGUUUCUAACAUGUAACUAAUAGUGUGAUCUUUCUCUUUCUUUUUUUGAGUACUUAGUGGCCACAAUCAAUGAUUUCCAAAGAGCUUUUAUAUCUAAAGAACUGUGAUGCAAUGUAAUAUUUUCCUCCAUUACUCUAUUCCAAACUUUAUAUACCUUCCUAUAUGAGGAGCCCCAUUACUAACAUCUCCAGACAUUGUCACUCACUUUCUCUAUAAUUGUAACUUAUAAGUAAUUUGAGUUUGGCUCCAUUUUCUUAAAUCUUGGUUUUCUGGGUUAACACUACUUGACCAGUUUAACUGUAUACAUUUUUUCUUAUAAUAAGUCUCAUUGUAUUUGCUACAAAGAGAUAGACAUCACAAAAAGAUAGAAUCACCUAAGGCCUAAACAAAGGUUUCAUGUAGUUUUGAAAUAAAUGGUAAAAUCAAUAACAUUAUGAACUUAUUGGAGUAUGUCCAAACGUGGAUAUAUUUGUUUCGUUUGAUUUUUUGUAAAUGGGCCUCAGACAAUAAUCUAAUUACAGUUGGGUCAGGGGUACAUCAACGAAAGCUCAAGAGUACAUCCAUCUUCAACAAGUAUAUAAUUUUUAAAAUGAAUGGUAAAACAAUUAGUUACAAAUGUUGUUAAAAAAAUUGUGAACGUUAAUGCUACUUAUUACUUAAGUUAAAAGUUAAUUAUUAUUUUUUUAACUGUACGUUAAAAGUAUUUUGUCCACACUAACUGGCAUAGUAUUUUAUCAAAUAUUGAUAAAUAUAUGCAUUAUCAUUUUAAUAGAAAUAUUUAGUGAUAAGUUGAACAUCAUGACAAAGUUUUUCGUCAUAAUAGAAAUACUUUUUACUGCGUAAAUAAAUUUUGAAAUAUUCAUGCAUUAAAAUUAUUUAAUAAUAUAUUAAAUAUUAAAUUCUUUAUAUGACAAAUUUAUCAUAACAUAAAUACUUUUGUACUGUUUAAUAAAUUUUAAAACAUUCAUGUAUAUACAAAUAUUACAUCUAUUAUGCCCAUAUGUGUAAGGGAAAUUAAACCCCAAACUAAAACCUAUAUCUUUCAAAUCUAUACUAUAAGGGAGGUGAAUACAAAUUUACCAAACACGAAUAUAAUUUUUGCAGUUUAUUAAUUCUAAAAGGGUAUAUAAUAAAGUGAUAUAUCAUAGUUGUUUGGAAAUACGUAGAUAAAGCAAGUAUCCUCCAAGUUUCUUAGCAUGAUAUGAUUCAGAGAAAUUAAUCGACUACCACUGCUUUGGAAUUAACUUUACCAUUUGAUCAAAGUAUUUUAUCAUUGACAAUCUCUGAAUUAUUUAAGCCAAAUCACAAUUCCUAAAUAAACAAAAAUAAAUAAUUAUACUUAUUAAAAUAUUCAUAUUUCUGCAGUAAAUUACUUAGACAACUAAACUUAUCAAAAAUAAAAUUAAAUAAAUGAUAAAGAGUAGAUGUAUAACUUUGUAUGUUUUGUAGAGUAUUUCUAUAAAAAAAAAAAUGUAGAUAAUAUUACGUAAAUAACAGUAUGUAGAGCAUAUAUAAAUAUCACAUUUUUAAUAUUAAACUAUGUUAAAAUUAUAAUGAAUGAAAGGUUAUUACCAAUUGAUCAUAGUUAUUAUAAUAAUUAGAUAUAUUCAUACUAUUAUUUGAAAAUAUGUAAAAUAAACAAAAUUAUCUAAAAUCAUGGAGACUGUGACAAAUCAGCAAAAUCACUUCUUAAAUUAUAUAUAUAUAUAUAUAUAUAUGUAUAAGAUUCAGAAAAAUAAGAACAAGUAAAAUAAUGUAAUUAUUAUCAAAAUAAAAAUAUUGUUUCAUUUGAAAAAUCAUAAUUAUGUCUGGUAUUAUGCAAUUUACUCAAGCAUCUUUGAUGCUCAAUAUUUUGAUAUCAUAUAUAAGUAAAUAAUUCAGGAAAUAAUUGUUUAAACAUAAUAUAAAACAAUCAAUUGAAGCAAAAUAGACUCAAAUAUUUAGCAGAGUAUUAAACAUUAUCAUAAUCUAAACAUUAUUGUAAAUUUUCCAAUACACUUACGAAUAAACUUCAAAUUUCUUUUUUUUUUUACGAAAUAUCAAGUGAAUGGGGGGAGUUGUAAGAUAGCCAAAAUGUUAAGAGUCAUGAACGAGACUGACAAUGUGAUAGUCCAUUAUUUUCAUAUCUACAACUUGAAUAAACUAUAGUCUAUAGCUACAAUCCGAAAAUCCAAAACCCGAAUAGAUCCGAACCGAACCCGAAUGGAUACCCGAAUGCCCACCCUUAGUAAGUGUCUCUUUCUCUAUCGUUUUCAUUCUUACAUUUUUAAUUUUCCAAAAUACAAAUCUACUAAAUCUCCUAUCUUCUUUUGUAGCAACAAUGCUACUGAGACAAAGAGCACCAUGAUGAAAUCUAUCUCCAAUGGAAGCUACAAACACAAGUCACUAUUUGCAGUGGCGGACUCAGGUUUGAUUUUAAGGGAUGCAUAUUGGGCUAUAGCCCAACAUAAUCAAACAAUACUAAAAAGAACAUAUGAAGCCCUCUGAGCUAUGCCACAUCGGAUUAGAAAAUCAGCCACUAAAAUUACAGCAAUCCUCCGUGUCAUUAAUGAGUUGCCUGAUUUCUUAAAGACUGUGGGCCCCGCGUUCUGACCGGUUAUGAUUAGUCGAUUAGGUUUGGUGUUCUGUCUGAUUUUGGUUCUCCAUGUUCGGUUAGAUAUUAAGUCAAACUCUGCGUUUUCUCUUUCAAUAGAUUAGGGUUUAAUUCUUUUCGUUCUUCCAGUUUUCGAUAUCGCCGUCUCCGCUAAUCUUUGAACGCACACACACAAUGAUUUCUUCUCACAACUCUUAACCUUCCCUAUGUUCAAAGUAUUUCUCUUAAUUUCGCUAAUAAAUGUUAUUUUCAUUGAAACCAAAAAUGAUGACGACCUCUCUGUUUCCUUCACGUCAAACCUAUAAAUUGGAGAGGGUUGAGAGUUGGAUCUUGACAUGAAGAAAUGAAGCCUCGGAGGAGACAAUGGAGAAGGACAAUCCUCGGGUCAAUCGUCUCUUAUGCCAAGAAAUCCGCCACGCGGAUCAGCACCGGAGGGAAUUCAGUUAGAAAAAGCUUAAAAAUUGUAGUCGAGAAGGAAAAGCUUAAAAAUCUGAAGGAGUGUUCUGACUCAUGUUCGACAAUAUUUCAUCCAGAAGGUCGGUUCCUACUUGACCCUAUUUCACUUCCCAUCAGACUAUUCCUUCGCUUGAUCAACUUUGUCAACGCCUGAACAUUAUAAUGAUGCAACUUAUUAGGAUAAUGCUUGUGUUCUCCUUCCCAGCGAAGAUCCGCAUUGAACCAAGCUCGCUUAUGUUCCUUAGUUUGUGCUUUUGCUGCCGCUGGAUCUGUGGACACCAACUAAACUAUCUUUAGCUUCUGGACUACAGUCAACCUAAUGUCAUAGCGGCUCCUUGAAUAUAUCUAUAUCGGUAAGUAUUAUGGAUAGACUCACCAAGUCAGCCCAUUUCCUAGCGAUCAAGAAGACGGACAGUGAUGAUCAGUUGGCGCAGGUUUCAUCAGAGAGAUUGUGAGGUUACAUGGAGUUCUCGUUGGUAUUGUGUAGAUCAGGAUGCAAAAUUUCACAUCAACAUUUUGGAGAGCCUUUCAGAAGGAACUUAGGACAAAGGUUCAUAUGAGUACAGCCUAUCACCACAGACAUGUAGUCAGUGAGAGAGGACUAUUCAAAAUUUUGAGGAUAUUCUUAAAGCUUGCAUUUUAUAUUGGGAAGGAAGCUGCCUCUAGCAGAGUUUGCUUACAACAACAACUAUCAUUCGAGUAUUGAGAUGGCACCGUAUGAGGCACUUUAUGGUAGGCCUUGUCAUACACCACUUUGUUCGACAGACGUGGGGGAGCGGCAAGACUUAGAACCAGCAAUGGUUGAGGAGAUAGUAAAGCAGGUAGAGAUGCUCAAGACUCAGCUUAAGGAAGCCCAUGACCGUCAGAAGAGCUAUGCAGAUAAGCGCCGUAAAGACUUGGAGUGUCAGGUAGAGACUUAGUAUACCUGAAAAUGAGGACAUUUCAGGGAGGAUCUAGGACUCUGAAGCUAAAGAAGCUUAAACCGAGAUAUAUGGGACCGUACCCAAUUGUGGAGCGGAUUGAAGCAGUGGCUUACAUAUUGCAGUUAUCAUCAAAGUGUUCCAUGUGUCAGUUUUGAGGAAAAUCGUGAGAGAGCUAGAGCUCAUUUUGCAGCAGUCAUCCAGUGAUCUUGAGAAAAAAUUGUUUGCGCCUUGUCAGCCAGUUAAGAUUAUAGAUCGGCAAGUGAAAGAGGUUCAAGGGAUGUUGACCAUGUUGGUCAACGUUUGUUGAGAGAGACAAGAUCUGAGGAGACCUGAGAGACUGAGACUUUGAUGAGGAUUGAUUAUCCAGAGCUUUUUCAGGAUGCUAUUAAAAAGCCGACUCAGGAUUUGAAUUCGAGGACGAAUUCCUAGUAAGUGGGGAAGAAUUGUAACGACCCGGUUAUGCUAACCGAUUUUGGUUUGUAAUAAUCCUCUUCUGCAUAGUCCACUUUCUGUCAAUCCAGUGAGCUGUCACAACCAUGUAGCUGCAAGAGGUUGUAGGAGCAACCCAUAUAUCUGUGGUUAGAGAGACCCUCUUCUGCUCAGAACUGAACAAGUGCUUAAACGCUUCUUUCUCUUUCAAGAACAUCCCAAAAAUGUCCUCUCUUCAAUCCAGUGAGCUGUCCGUGUACAUAGGCAACACGUUCUUACAGAAACGCCUAAACCCUUCAGAUUCCACAAAAGCAAACGGUAACUCAUUCAACACAAUCAUCUCAUUGACAGAUCUCCUAAACAGGGUAGCAUCAUACUUCACUGCAGUCACUACACCACUACUAUCACCACCUAGGAUUGUCUGACCCCCACUAGACUAAAAGAGUUCAUGCAACUUACAGCGAGAUAUGUGAUUUUUCAUGGCACUUGUUCCACUCUUCUUAGAGUCGGAUCCUAUAUCUUGACCAAAAUAUCGACAAAUAGCUAUGCUCGGGUCAUCUUCCCUCUGAAUAAAGUGUUGCCACACUUCUGCUCUGUGAAUUUGUUUCUUCUUUGUAGGUGGAGGCAGUUCGGUACUUGAUCUCUCUGAAGCCGGCCUUUUCUUUCCACCAGCUUGAGAUUCAUGUCCUUCUUCAGGUUGAUCAUCAUCAAUCUUAUCUUCAUAAGCAGACAUCUACAUCAAGGAAAAAAAAUUAAGACAAUGAGAUACAAAAUCAAACCAUCAUUCAACAUUCAACACAAAAUUAAGACCAUGUUCUACAAAAUCGACACACUUAAAUCAAACCAUUAUUCAACACUAAUCAUAAAAUUCAUAUCGAUUUUGACUUUAAUCCCUAAAUGCUAAAUGUUUCAAAAUCGAUCUGAAACAGAAACCUAAUCUACAAAAUCAACAGACAAUCCGUGGUAAUAGAUAGAGAGAAAGUGAAAUCGAAAAUACCUUAAGUGAAAUUCUCCUAAAUCCCAAAAUCGAAAUACAAACCCUAAUCCUCCCAACCCAAAUCAUAAGCAGAAAGAAGAUGGAGAUUGAAGAAGAACUAACCUUUUUAAUCGAUCGGUUUGAGAGAAAUGGAAUUGAUUUUAAAGAUUAGAUAGAGAGGUUAUGUUUUCGAUCUGCUUAGUAAAAGGUUAACCGACCAUUAAGCUUAAGAGAAGUAUUUAUACCUAGGUUUAAUGAUUCUCGGGUUUCCGAUCGGUUACUCUUAACCAAACCGAACCGAGGGAAUAACCGAACUAUAUACAAAUCUCUGCCGAACGGUUUCCUCCCCGUAACCGAACAAUAACCAAAAUGUCAAAAUGUCGGUUCGGUUCGGUUCGGACCAUUCGGUUCGGUUCGGAAUCGCAGGCCUAGGAGAAACCAUCGUUGUUGUGAUUCAUGUUAUUGGGAACAUGACUAAGACGAAAUGAGAAAGUGUAACCGGAGCCAUCGCGUUCCAUCGCAACCAGCCACAUAUUGCAUGGCCAUGAUCUAUGAGUCACCGCCACCGGAGAUCCACGUAGCCACCGUCCAAGCUGUACCAAACCACAUAAGAUCAUAGACAUCAUUACCGGAGGAGCAGUCAUGCCUUUAGAAGUAUUGUGGUGAUCUGUCUACGGUAUGUAAUGGAAACGAGAGGUGUAGACGUGGAGAAGAGACGGAGCCACCGCAUCAUCAUAUUUCCGUUGUUGUUCUUCACCAUCAUCAAUGGUGAGCCACUGGACAUGCACUUCAUGUAGGGAUAUUAAUAUGGGUUUUGGUCUGUAGGGUUAGCCCAGCCCGCAUCCAUUUUUUUAACCCAAAAGUCCUUUAUUUUUCUUUUGUGAAAACAAAUCAGAACGGCGCAGUUUUUAGUUUCUUCUCUAGUUCUCCAUCUCUCCUCGACGGCUCGACGCUUCAUGGUGAUCUCAUUUCUUCUCCAGUUCUUCAUCACCUGAUUGUAAUCGGGAGACACGAUUUCGUCUCCAGUUCUCCAUCAUUUCAUUUCGAAAAACUUCCCUCCUCUCUCGCGAUCCUCCGUGUUGUGUCCGUCGAGCAAUCUCCUCUCUCCUUGACAUCGAGCAACGAGUGUUUGAAGAGACUCAAGAGUCAAGAGACUUGGAGAGCAACAAGUAUUGGCUGCCUUGGAGAGUUUAAUAAAAUGAGUUUGCAUUAACAUGAAUGUAAACUUUAGUUUUUAAUUUCAGUGAAGACAAAAAUGAAGAAAAGACACAUUUUGCAUUUACAUGAUCAUACUUACAGUUUUUAACAUUUAAAUUUAAGUCAAAUUUGAUAGGCAAAAAAAUAUUGACUUGUAAAAGAAAUUAAAUGGGCUAACCCUGAUCUAGCCUAACCUUUAACAAAAAGUAGGGUUAAAAUAGGGUUGGGUUAAAAUAGGGUUGGGUUAAAACAGGGCUAGGUUUAUAUAACCCAAAGAAGGGCUUAACCUUAACCAUGUACAUAACAUCCCUAACUAUAUGUCACCGGAGUUCAAGAUCCUUUGACAAGUCAAAGCCGUGAAGGUUAUGGAGUCUUCUCCUUUGUUUCUUGUGUUACAAGCAACAUUUAUAACUUAAAACUUAAUUAAGGGUUUCAUUCGUUGGGAGAAUCGGACAAGAAACCAAUUCUAAAGCCUAACCUACCGAGUCUUGUUGCAUACCAAGUUUUUGGGAGUUUCAU